CAGUAGCCGCGGUAAUACGAGGGGAGCUAGCGUUGUUCGGAAUUACUGGGCGUAAAGCGCGCGUAGGCGGCUUUUUAAGUCAGAGGUGAAAGCCCGGGGCUCAACCCCGGAAUUGCCUUUGAAACUGGAAAGCUAGAAUCUUGGAGAGGUCAGUGGAAUUCCGAGUGUAGAGGUGAAAUUCGUAGAUAUUCGGAAGAACACCAGUGGCGAAGGCGACAUACUGGAUCAUUACUGACGCUGAGGCUCGAAAGCGUGGGGAGCAAACAGGAUUAGAUACCCCGGUAGUCCCUGUCUCUUAUAA
rnacentral:rRNA from 1 species